UGUCUGAGCAAACACAAGCCAUCCUUGAGUUCCUGGUUCUGACUUCUUUGAAGACCAAGACACCGGUUUCCUUCAACUUGAGAGACAAUGUUUCAGGUGAUAAGAAAAGACAAACUAUCAGAAACCCCAGAGGUGCCAAUUACCCACUUUUUUCAUGCUAACAACUUGCAUUUCUACUCAUUGGUUUAUAUAAGAGUAACCAUCUCUUUCUCUUAACAUGCUGGAGGUGGGGUGGGGGGUGGUGGUUGUUCCAAAGUAGCCAGAUCAGACUUUUUAAUGAGCAAGAGUUGGAGGGGAGAAAAAAAAGGUAAAUUGACUUUUUACAGGAAACACAGCAUUCCUCAAAAACGAUUAAACAUUCUGUCAUCCAGAAUAUCCCUAUCCUGUUGACCUUAUUUACAGAUUUCAUGAAAAAUACAUCAUCAUAACAUUGAUAUAUGGACCCUGUAGCAUCCAAUUUCUUGGAGGCAUCUGUACCUGAUAAGGAUGCUGGUCAUGCACUCAUGAACGUGGGGGCAAUAUAAAUGAGAUGAUGCCCCAUGGAAUAUAAUACACAUAGAUGAUUUUCUAAAAUACGCUCAUAUCUGUUGGAAAUAAGGCAGUUUGGCUCUCCACCUUGGCUCUGAAUGAAAUAAUGUUCUGGGUUGGGGAGGCAGGUAAUAAAAGCCACAGUUGUCAAGUGUUA